rnacentral:rRNA from 1 species
UACGUAGGGUGCAAGCGUUGUCCGGAAUUAUUGGGCGUAAAGAGCUCGUAGGCGGUUUGUUGCGUCGGCUGUGAAAUCCCGAGGCUCAACCUCGGGUCUGCAGUCGAUACGAGCAAACUAGAGUGUUGCAGGGGAGACUGGAAUUCCUGGUGUAGCGGUGAAAUGCGCAGAUAUCAGGAGGAACACCGGUGGCGAAGGCGGGUCUCUGGGCCGAAACUGACGCUGGAGGAGCGAAAGCGUGGGGAGCAAACAGG